rnacentral:rRNA from 1 species
CAGCAGCAGCCACGGUAAUACAGAGGGUGCGAGCGUUAAUCGGAUUUACUGGGCGUAAAGCGUGCGUAGGCGGCUAAUUGAGUCGGAUGUGAAAUCCCCGAGCUUAACUUGGGAAUUGCAUUCGAUACUGGUUAGCUAGAGUGUGGGAGAGGAUGGUAGAAUUCCAGGUGUAGCGGUGAAAUGCGUAGAGAUCUGGAGGAAUACCGAUGGCGAAGGCAGCCAUCUGGCCUAACACUGACGCUGAGGUACGAAAGCAUGGGGAGCAAACAGGAUUAGAUACCCCCGUAGUCCCUGUCUCUUAUAC